rnacentral:rRNA from 1 species
GGGUGGAUUAGUGGCGAACGGGUGAGUAACACGUGGGCAAUCUGCCCUUCACUCUGGGACAAGCCCUGGAAACGGGGUCUAAUACCGGAUAUCACUCCCGCAGGCAUCUGUGGGGGUCGAAAGCUCCGGCGGUGAAGGAUGAGCCCGCGGCCUAUCAGCUUGUUGGUGAGGUAAUGGCUCACCAAGGCGACGACGGGUAGCCGGCCUGAGAGGGCGACCGGCCACACUGGGACUGAGACACGGCCCAGACUCCUACGGGAGGCAGCAGUGGGGAAUAUUGCACAAUGGGCGAAAGCCUGAUGCAGCGACGCCGCGUGAGGGAUGACGGCCUUCGGGUUGUAAACCUCUUUCAGCAGGGAAGAAGCGAAAGUGACGGUACCUGCAGAAGAAGCGCCGGCUAACUACGUGCCAGCAGCCGCGGUAAUACGUAGGGCGCAAGCGUUGUCCGGAAUUAUUGGGCGUAAAGAGCUCGUAGGCGGCUUGUCACGUCGGGUGUGAAAGCCCGGGGCUUAACCCCGGGUCUGCAUUCGAUACGGGCUAGCUAGAGUGUGGUAGGGGAGAUCGGAAUUCCUGGUGUAGCGGUGAAAUGCGCAGAUAUCAG